CGUGAGGGGAGCGGGUGAUCUCUGAGGGAACCGCACCGGGACAGCGACCGGCACCGGGCUCCUCUGGCCGAUCGUGGAUCGCUGCCCUCACAGCGAGGAGCCCUCCCGGUGUCCCCACAGCACGCCCCGCCACUGCUGUGCAGAUGCUGCCGAGCAAAGUGACAGAGCUCAACCAGAGAGAGCAGCAAAUCCGAGUGGGACGAAACCUGAGCAAAUGAGAAUCCUGCUCCCUGGUCAAAGAGAGAUCACCUUAUAUGGGAACACCAGGGACAAGAGCAUGAACGCGUCCUGCUGAGACUCUGAGCCUGGGAUUUACAGGUUGGACCUUGAGAGCUGUGCACGUUCCCACCUCCUGUGUGCACAGUGUCAGUGGUGGCCUCACACCUCUCCCUGCCCCCUGGACCAGAUGCACACAGUUGGCUCAGAACACACUGAGCAGCUGCAGCUUUCUGUGACUGUGCAGCAGGAGAGGCACAGCCAAGGUAUGUGCCACCAGCUGGCUCUGCUGAGAGGAGCAGUGACUUCAUCACUCCUUUUUGAUCCCAGCACCUGAUAUAAAACCAGUCUAAGACCAGGUGGAAUGGUGUCCCAAGCAAUAGGAGAUAAGAAGCUGGAGAUCUCGUGGCCACUGAUGACCCCAGAACCCCACUGCUCUCUGCUUUGCUGGGCAAUGCCAGCCCUGUGGAGUGGGUGCUGUGUGUUCUGCCCAGCCCAGAAGAGCAUUACACCUUCUUUGCACUGAUGUGAAGUGCUGGGGGUGGAAAGUCAGGCCCAGAAUAAGUUGGCCUGAUGCUGGCUUCCAUCCAUUUAGCCCCAGUUGUCCCAGCAUUACUUCAGACUGGCAAAGUCUGGCAGUAGAUGAUGCCAUAGCAGCAACAAGACCAAUGACGUGGUGUUAGACCAACCACCUUGAAGGUGGAUGUGGCUGUGGAUCCUCCGAGGUGGGAGUGUGGCAUAGGAUGUUAUUUAACAAGGAGGGGUUGGUUGGGCAGAGCUUUCUCAGCUUUCUCUAGAGAACACACAGUUUUGUUUCUUGCCAUGCUGUUUGGUUUUGUUUCUUGUCUGAAAAAUCCAAAAUAACUCCACUGAUUAGUCUCAGGUUUACACCAGUGUUUCUGAGAUUAGAGCCUGCUCUUUAGAGCCUCCUGUUCAAGGUCAGAUGAAAUGGCCAGUCACCCCUUGCAGCAGAUUCCAAGAACAAUAAGAUGUUUUAGGAAUGUGCCAUAAUUGAGUGCCUCUAAAGGGCAAAUUUUGCACUGUGCUGCCAAGCAAGGGCUGUUUUCAGUGAUAAGUUUGCUGAACAAAGUCUGCUGAGGUUCGUGGAGUUGGUUUCAUUCUCCUGGGAGGGCAGCAGGCCAGGACAUUGCGCACACUGAUCCAAAUCGCACCAAGGAUCAAGUCUGCAGGAAACCCAAGUGGCCUUACUAAGGUUCUGUGCCCACCUUCUGCUACUCAGAGCUGGGUUCCCACUGCCACUUUCCAGCAACACUGUUAUCCCAAAGCACUGUUCUCCAGGAGGAAAAGGCUGAAAUGCUGUCAAAAUAGAGGAUAUAAAUAAAGGAACAUCGAUCAGUUGCUUUGUA